AGAGUUUGAUCCUGGCUCAGGAUAAACGCUGGCGGCGUGCAUGAGACAUGCAAGUCGAACGAACGAUCGGGGCUUGCUCCGGUCGUUAGUGGCGGACGGCUGAGUAACGCGUAGGUGACCUGCCCCGAAGUGGGGAAUAACUGCCCGAAAGGGUGGCUAAUACCGCAUGUGGUGGCGCGUUCGGUCGCGCCAGUAAAGCCGCAAGGCGCUUCGGGAGGGGCCUGCGUCCGAUUAGCUCGUUGGUGGGGUAACGGCUCACCAAGGCGACGAUCGGUAGGUGGUCUGAGAGGACGAUCACCCAGACUGGGACUGAGACACGGCCCAGACUCCUACGGGAGGCAGCAGUCGGGAAUUUUGCGCAAUGGGCGAAAGCCUGACGCAGCAACGCCGCGUGAGGGAUGAAGGCCUUCGGGUUGUAAACCUCUUUUCUCAGGGACGAUGAUGACGGUACCUGAGGAAUAAGCCACGGCUAACUACGUGCCAGCAGCCGCGGUAAUACGUAGGUGGCAAGCGUUGUCCGGAUUUACUGGGCGUAAAGAGCGCGCAGGCGGUCGUUCAAGUCGAGUGUGAAAGCCCCCGGCUCAACUGGGGAGGGUCACUCGAUACUGAUCGACUCGAAGGCGGGAGAGGGAAGCGGAAUUCCCGGUGUAGUGGUGAAAUGCGUAGAUAUCGGGAGGAACACCAGUGGCGAAGGCGGCUUCCUGGCCCGUUCUUGACGCUGAGGCGCGAAAGCUAGGGGAGCAAACGGGAUUAGAUACCCCGGUAGUCCUAGCCGUAAACGAUGGACACUAGGUGUUGGUGGUAUCAACCCCGCCAGUGCCGAAGCUAACGCAUUAAGUGUCCCGCCUGGGGAGUACGGCCGCAAGGCUAAAACUCAAAGGAAUUGACGG
rnacentral:rRNA from 1 species